GCAGGGACUAGACCUCACCACUGCAUGUACUUCCCUACUGAAGUUGUGCACUAGGUGGAAGAGGAUGGCCUUCUCCGAAUAGAGAUGAACUGGAACUUCGGUAGAGGGUAAAGGAGUAACUACGCUCCCCUGCUAGAACAUCCAAACAAGCUCUCAAUGUCCAUAAAUGGUUCCCACUCUUAUCAAUAUUAUUAAUGUUGCAAUUGUUCCCUGACGUAGUAA
rnacentral:snRNA from 1 species